AUUGAACGCUGGCGGCAUGCUUUACACAUGCAAGUCGAACGGUAACAGGUUAAGCUGACGAGUGGCGAACGGGUGAGUAAUGCAUCGGAACGUGCCCGGUCGUGGGGGAUAACGCAGCGAAAGCUGCGCUAAUACCGCAUACGAUCUGAGGAUGAAAGCGGGGGACCGUAAGGCCUCGCGCGAUCGGAGCGGCCGAUGUCAGAUUAGGUAGUUGGUGGGGGAAAGGCUCACCAAGCCGACGAUCUGUAGCUGGUCUGAGAGGACGACCAGCCACACUGGGACUGAGACACGGCCCAGACUCCUACGGGAGGCAGCAGUGGGGAAUUUUGGACAAUGGGCGCAAGCCUGAUCCAGCAAUGCCGCGUGCAGGAAGAAGGCCUUCGGGUUGUAAACUGCUUUUAUACGGAGCGAAAAGGCUCUCUCUAAUACAGGGGGCUCAUGACGGUACCGUAAGAAUAAGCACCGGCUAACUACGUGCCAGCCGCCGCAGUAA
rnacentral:rRNA from 1 species